UACGUAGGGUGCAAGCGUUGUCCGGAUUUAUUGGGCGUAAAGAGCGUGUAGGCGGCUUCACAGGUCCGCUGUGAAAACUCGAGGCUCAACCUCGAGAUGUCGGCGGAAACCGUGUGGCUAGAGUCCGGAAGAGGAGAGUGGAAUUCCCGGUGUAGCGGUGAAAUGCGCAGAUAUCGGGAAGAACACCAGUGGCGAAGGCGGCUGUCUGGGACGGUACUGACGCUGAGACGCGAAAGCGUGGGGAGCGAACAGG
rnacentral:rRNA from 1 species